UCACCCUACAGAAAGACUCCACUGCAACAGCGCUUAGAUACAGCUGAAGAUUGAGAAAUGCUACCUUGGUGCUGGCUGGAAGAAAAUAAGUCUUGUCAACUCUGUUCUCAGAUGACAAUAAGUGUCACAUUGCCAUCCCAGCCAGAGAGCACUAUUAGUGUCAAGGAGAACAAUAAAGAGCAAUUGCUGGUGCACCACAGGGAAGAGCUAAGAACAGAGCAAAAAUACGUGCUCCUUCCCCCGACCUGCAGCUGAGGGACGUCCUGGUUCAGAGAAAUGCCAAUCAAGCGUGUGCUACUUGGGCUGGGAAAACGGUUUCAGAAGCUUGCCAGGAUUAAUAGAGCUUCAUUGCAGUUUGGUGGGGAAAAAAACAUCAACAGGAGCACAUUUCCCUGAAAGUCCAGGUAAUUUCGGGCCCAGAAUUCAGCUUUUCUGGGCUAAAUCCCUGCAUGGAUGUAGAAAGGACCUAGCUAUCAGGAACAUUUCAGGAGACAGCAGAAGAAUACAGUGCAGGAAUCUUACCUAAGAGCAGCUUUGGGGAGUGAGUUUACAUCCUUUAUCUCGAGACGGGGAUGUGCUCUGGUAGCAGAGCAGAAUCAGAUUUGUUUUUCACUGGUAUGAGGGACUGGUGGCACAAAUUUCAGCGAUCUGAACCUACAUCCUGUGGUAUAAUAAGAGCUGAAAAAAAA